rnacentral:ncRNA from 2 species
AUGCCACAUCAUUGAUCAGGUGCUCAGUUAUAGCUGAAAAGGGAACCCCGUGGAAUCCGGGGACGGGCCCGCCGCUGUGAUCGGGGACGAAAGCCGCAGGAUGCCACUGGCCGAAAGGCCGGGAAGGCGCGGCCGGUAGGGUGAUCCGGGAGUCAGAAGACCUGCCUGAUCGACAUAUGUGGG